rnacentral:rRNA from 1 species
AAAAACAUUUCCUCUUGGUAUAAGAGGUAAGGCCUGCUCACUGACUAGGUUGAAGAGCCGCAGUAUAUUGACUGUGCUAAGGUAGCAUAAUCAUUAGUCCUUUAAUUGGGGACUGGUAUGAAUGGCUAAACGAGAAAUUAGCUUUCUUUGUUAUGGUUUGUUGAAUUUAACUUGUAAGUGAAAAGGCUUACAUGAUUCAGAAAGACGAGAAGACCCUAUAGAGUUUUACAAAGGCCUAAAAUACAGCUUAUUAGUUUUUAAGGGUUAUAUUUUGGAAAUUUGUUUGGUUGGGGCGACAUAAAGAUAAAAAAAACUCUUUGUAGUAUAAACUUUGGUGGAAGAAAAGGUUUGAUCCUCUAAAAGGGAUUAUAAGAAAAAAUUACCUUAGGGAUAACAGCGUAAUCUUCUUUUAGAGUCCAAAUCGACAAGAAGGUUUGCGACCUCGAUGUUGGACUAAAAUUUGGGCAAGGUGCAGCAGCUUUGUUUUUGGGUCUGUUCGACCCGUAAUAUUUUACAUGAUCUGAGUU